AGAGUUUGAUCAUGGCUCAGGAUGAACGCUAGCGGCAGGCUUAAUACAUGCAAGUCGAGGGGUAACAGGGGAGCUUGUUCCCGCUGACGACCGGCAAACGGGUGCGGAACACGUACAGAACCUUCCUUCGAGCGGGGAAUAGCCCAGAGAAAUUUGGAUUAAUACCCCAUAGUAUUACGGAGUGGCAUCACUUUGUAAUUAAAGAUUUAUCACUUGAAGAUGGCUGUGCGGCUGAUUAGGUAGUUGGCGGGGUAACGGCCCACCAAGCCUUCGAUCAGUAACUGGUGUGAGAGCACGACCAGUCACACGGGCACUGAGACACGGGCCCGACUCCUACGGGAGGCAGCAGUAAGGAAUAUUGGUCAAUGGACGAAAGUCUGAACCAGCCAUGCCGCGUGGAGGAUGAAGGCCCUCUGGGUUGUAAACUUCUUUUAUAUGGGACGAAAAAAGAUCUUUCUAGGUCACCUGACGGUACCAUAUGAAUAAGCACCGGCUAACUCCGUGCCAGCAGCCGCGGUAAUACGGAGGGUGCAAGCGUUAUCCGGAUUCACUGGGUUUAAAGGGUGCGUAGGUGGGUUGGUAAGUCAGUGGUGAAAUCUCCGAGCUUAACUUGGAAACUGCCAUUGAUACUAUCAGUCUUGAAUAUUGUGGAGGUCAGCGGAAUAUGUCAUGUAGCGGUGAAAUGCUUAGAUAUGACAUAGAACACCAAUUGCGAAGGC
rnacentral:rRNA from 1 species